UACGUAGGGCGCGAGCGUUGUCCGGAUUUACUGGGCGUAAAGGGCUCGUAGGCGGUCCGUCGCGUCGGCUGUGAAAGACCGCAGCUCAACUGCGGAAACGCAGUCGAUACGGGCGGACUAGAGGACGGUAGAGGCAAGCGGAAUUCCUGGUGUAGCAGUGAAAUGCGCAGAUAUCAGGAGGAACACCGAUGGCGAAGGCAGCUUGCUGGGCCGUUCCUGACGCUGAGGAGCGAAAGCGUGGGGAGCGAACAGGAUUAGAUACCCGU
rnacentral:rRNA from 1 species